GAUGAAAAAUCCUCCCGGUCACGGCCGUCAAGUGCUCUUCUAAAGACAGCCGUGAAUCCAGGAGGACGCCCAAGUUACGAACCCUUUCCAUGGGGGCCAAUGAUUCGCCCCCAAUAGCCAGUGAUGGCGCCAGCUGACUAUAUCGGAUUCAUCAUGUACUAUGUAGAAGAUACCUGGAUAGGGAAAUGGGGAUGUUUGUAACAGACAGGCAUAUCUCUUGAAUGGGAUGGAACAUGUUAAAGUUACUUCCAAGGAUGAAAAGGUUGCUAUUCAUUUGAGGGGCUCUGAAAGUUUCAGUGUUCUUAACAGGAUAGCAUUGUUCUUGAAAAAAACAGAUCAGAAACCUGGGGAGGGGGACUUCCUAGACUGAUGGAUACUGUUAAUUGAACAGGUGAAAACUGUGGCCUUUGCCUUGCUUCAGCUGAUGAAAUAGUUGUGGUCCUACCUGGGACAGAAAUACUUUAUGAGGUCACUCAUGACCUCAACAUUAUUGCAGUUUUCUAUAUAAAGGGCUGACUCUGGAGGCUACUUAACAUUUGGUCCAGAAUGCAAUGGCCCUAAUGUUGGUUGGCAGCCAUUACGCAUGAACAUAUAAUGUUGGUAUUUAGCCCUGGUGUCUUCCUGUGGGUUUUCACAUAGCAUUUGAAGUGCUGGCAUUAAUCUGUAAUGCUGUCUAUGACUUGGCAUCAAGAUCCCAGAAGUUGCAGAUGCUGCUCUGAGAAGACUUCCAAGGGGCUGAUGAGGAACAUGUGCCAAAGAGAACUAAAGCUAAAAUGGACUCUUUCAACAAAAAAAAAAUACCUUCAUUGUCAACAUUCCCAGAGGCAAAGAUAGCAGAGUUUCAGCUUAAAAAUUUAAGUGUGUUCAGAGUUUCCCAGAGGAAAAGUGAAGAUUGACUGAUGAAUUUGUUUUUGUGACAUUCUGAAACAUUGACCUGAAGAUUA